rnacentral:rRNA from 1 species
UACGGAGGAUGCGAGCGUUAUCCGGAUUUAUUGGGUUUAAAGGGAGCGUAGACGGGAUGUUAAGUCAGCUGUGAAAGUUUGGGGCUCAACCUUAAAAUUGCAGUUGAAACUGGCGUUCUUGAGUGCGGUAGAGGUAGGCGGAAUUCGUGGUGUAGCGGUGAAAUGCUUAGAUAUCACGAAGAACUCCAAUUGCGAAGGCAGCUUGCUGGAGCGUAACUGACGUUGAUGCUCGAAAGUGUGGGUAUCAAACAGG